GGACCCGCACAAGCAGCGGAGCAUGUGGUUUAAUUCGAAGCAACGCGAAGAACCUUACCAGGGCUUGACAUCCCGCCGAAGCGGGGGGGUAACUCCCCUGUGCCUUCGGGCGGCGGAGACAGGUGGUGCAUGGUUGUCGUCAGCUCGUGUCGUGAGAUGUUGGGUUAAGUCCCGCAACGAGCGCAACCCCUGCCUUCAGUUGCCAUCGGAUAAUGCCGGGCACUCUGAAGGGACCGCCGGGGAUAACCCGGAGGAAGGCGGGGACGACGUCAAAUCAUCAUGCCCCUUAUGCCCUGGGCUACACACGUGCUACAAUGGUCGGAACAAUGGGAAGCGAAGUCGCGAGGCGGAGCAAAUCACGAAAACCGACCCCAGUUCGGAUCGCAGGCUGAAACCCGCCUGCGUGAAGCCGGAGUUGCUAGUAAUCGCGGAUCAGAACGCCG
rnacentral:rRNA from 1 species